rnacentral:rRNA from 1 species
GAGUGUUAGGGUGUNAAACCCCUGCGCGUAAUGAAAGUGAACGGAGGUGAGAGCUUCGGCGCAUCAUCGACCGAUCCUGAUGUUCUCGGAUGGAUUUGAGUAAGAGCAUNAUUGGCCGGACCCGAAAGAAAGUGAACUAUNCUUGGAUAGGGUCAAGCCAGAGGAAACUCUGGUGGAGGCUCGCAGCGGUUCUGACGUGCAAAUCGAUCGUCAAAUCUGAGCAUGGGGGCGAAAGACUAAUCGAACUUUCUAGUAG